GACGAACGCUGGCGGCGUGCUUAACACAUGCAAGUCGAACGGAAAGGCCCUGCUUUUGUGGGGUGCUCGAGUGGCGAACGGGUGAGUAACACGUGAGUAACCUGCCCUUGACUUUGGGAUAACUUCAGGAAACUGGGGUUAAUACCGGAUAGGAGCUCCUGCUGCAUGGUGGGGGUUGGAAAGUUUCGGCGGUUGGGGAUGGACUCGCGGCUAAUCAGCUUGUUGGUGGGGUAGUGGCUUACCAAGGCUUUGACGGGUAGCCGGCCUGAGAGGGUGACCGGCGACAUUAGUACUAAGGUACGGCCCAGUGUGCUACGGUGGACAGCGGUGGGAAACAUUACACAAUGAGCGGAAGCCUGAUACGGCAACGCCGCGUGUGGGAAGACAGCCUUCGGGUAAUAAAAAGCAUUAGCCUGAUACGAAGCGUGAGUGACGGUAAUGGGUGAAGAAGCACCGGCUAACUACGUG
rnacentral:rRNA from 1 species